rnacentral:lncRNA from 1 species
UCUUCAGCAAAUCUCUUCAAAUAUGACUUCUAGUAUUUAUAUUUUUAAAAAAUUCUUUUGCUGCCUUUACUUUGUUUAGGUCAUGUUGUAUGCUUCUAGAUUGUUGUAAAAACAGCUUUCUAGAAAAAUAUCAUUAUAUAUUUUUCCCCUAUAUUUUUUUCAUCCAUAUCUUGCUUUUUCUGCUGACCUUGUUUAGCUCUGAUCUUAGGUUUUGAAGAAUUAUAUAUUAUAUUAGAAAACUAAACAACUGACAAUAUGUUUCUCUAAAAUGGACUAUAACUAAGACACACCCCAAUGCAUGUACAUGCAAAAAAAGGCAAC